ACAUGGAGAGUUUGAUCCUGGCUCAGGAUGAACGCUAGCGGUAUGCUUAACACAUGCAAGUCGAAUGGCAGCACGAGGAGCUUGCUCCUUGGUGGCGAAUGGCGGACGGGUGAGUAACGCGUGAGAAUCUACCUUCAGGUCUGGGACAACAGUUGGAAACGACUGCUAAUACCGGAUGUGCCGAAAGGUGAAAGUUUUUCGCCUGAAGAUGAGCUCGCGUCUGAUUAGUUUGUUGGUGGGGUAAUAGCCUACCAAGACUUCGAUCAGUAGCUGGUCUGAGAGGACGAUCAGCCACACUGGGACUGAGACACGGCCCAGACUCCUACGGGAGGCAGCAGUGGGGAAUUUUCCGCAAUGGGCGAAAGCCUGACGG
rnacentral:rRNA from 1 species